AGUCUAGAGAAUCGUUUUCCGCGUUGGCCUGUGUACAAGUCCCUUGGAACAGGGCGUCAUAGAGGGUGAGAAUCCCGUCCUUGACACAGACUACCAAUGCUUUGUGAUGCGAUCUCGAAGAGUCGAGUUGUUUGGGAAUGCAGCUCAAAAUGGGUGGUAAAUUCCAUCUAAAGCUAAAUAUUGGCGAGAGACCGAUAGCGAACAAGUACCGUGAGGGAAAGAUGAAAAGCACUUUGGAAAGAGAGUUAAACAGUACGUGAAAUUGUUAAAAGGGAAACGAUUGAAGUCAGUCAUGCUUUCCGAGACUCAGCCGAUUCUGUCGGUGUACUUCUCGGUUGGCAGGCCAGCAUCAGUUUCGAUCUGUGGAAAAGGUUGGAGGGAACGUGGCAUCCUCGGAUGUGUUAUAGCCCUUCUUCGAAUACAUAGAGCGGGACUGAGGAACGCAGCGCGCCUUUUAUUAGGUUGGCCCUCGGGUACAUACGCGCUU
rnacentral:rRNA from 1 species